GACGAACGCUGGCGGCGUGCUUAACACAUGCAAGUCGAACGGAAAGGCCCUGCUUUUGUGGGGUGCUCGAGUGGCGAACGGGUGAGUAACACGUGAGUAACCUGCCCUUGACUUUGGGAUAACUUCAGGAAACUGGGGCUAAUACCGGAUAGGAGCUCCUGCUGCAUGGUGGGGGUUGGAAAGUUUCGGCGGUUGGGGAUGGACUCGCGGCUUAUCAGCUUGUUGGUGGGGUAGUGGCUUACCAAGGCUUUGACGGGUAGCCGGCCUGAGAGGGUGACCGGGCACAGUGGUGCGGAGGCGCCGCCGAGACUGCGGGGGAGGGGUGAAGAGGAUAAUGGUGCAAGGUGGGCGGCGGAGUGAUGCAGACGCGUGGCGGGGGGGAUGAGGGUCUGCGGGUUGUACGUCGUUUUCGGUGGGGACGGGGGGGGAGGGACGGUGAUGGAUGAAGAAGCAGCGACGAACGGGGUGCGAGCGGCGGGGGGAAGAGAUGGAGGAGACACGGCUGAAC
rnacentral:rRNA from 1 species